rnacentral:lncRNA from 1 species
ACCAGCUGAAGAGAGACAAUACCUACCAUACAAGGCCUCAAAAAGAGCUAUAUCAAUACUGAAAUGGUAGUUAUUAUUAUACGCGAACUCUGCCAAUGCUAAAUAUUUCUUACACUGACCACAAAAGUCCAUCCCAUAAGCAUGGAGCAUAUCUUCCAAAAAGUUAAUAGUCCACUCUGACUACCCGUCAAUCUUGGUAAAAUAUUAUGCUAAGACCACCCG